CCCCGGGCUUCACGUGGGUGCUGUCCUCGCUGGCCGGGGCCUUCGUCACUGUCUCCAUCCUCAUCGGCGUCGUCGGCUUCUUCAUCGUCAACAUUCCUCCCGACGAACACCGCCUCGAGACGGUCGGUGGAGCGGAACGCGGCGGCACGCAGCCAUC
rnacentral:lncRNA from 1 species